GACGAACGCUGGCGGCGUGCUUAACACAUGCAAGUCGAACGGAAAGGCCUGCUUGCAGGGUACUCGAGUGGCGAACGGGUGAGUAACACGUGGGUGAUCUGCCCUGCACUUCGGGAUAAGCCUUGGAAACUGGGUCUAAUACCGGAUAGGAGCCAUUUUUAGUGUGAUGGUUGGAAAGUUUUUUUCGGUGUAGGAUGAGCUCGCGGCCUAUCAGCUUGUUGGUGGGGUAAUGGCCUACCAAGGCGGCGACGGGUAGCCGGCCUGAGAGGGUGGACGGCCACAUUGGGACUGAGAUACGGCCCAGACUCCUACGGGAGGCAGCAGUGGGGAAUAUUGCACAAUGGGCGCAAGCCUGAUGCAGCGACGCCGCGUGGGGGAUGACGGCCUUCGGGUUGUAAACUCCUUUCGCUAGGGACGAAGCUUUUUGUGACGGUACCUAGAUAAGAAGCACCGGCUAACUACGUG
rnacentral:rRNA from 1 species